UUCAUAAGAUGAAAGCAAGGGGAAAAGGAAACUUCUAAAGACUUUCAGAGAGAAUAGUUCACUCAACAAGAACAAAAAUCAGACUGCCGCGAGACUUCUCAUCAGCAACCCUGGAUUCUAGAAGAUGAUGGAAUAACACCUGCCAGGGGCUAAGGGAAAGUCAUUCGAACCUGGACUCCUAUACCCAGCCAAACUACAGACAUCUUACAUGGAGCAUCAACAAUCCAUUCCUGAAACUCAGCUAUUUGGCAUGAAAAUGCUACCUGGGAGACUAUUUUCUGUUAUUUUAAAAGAAACAAUUAUAAUGUAUUAUAUAUCAACCCCAACCCCCACCAAUUUCCUAAAAUGAAAUAAAACAUGAAAAAAGCCCUGCAUUAGUGACAAAUUAUCUUUGAACAUAAAAUGUUAAACACCACGUCCCGAUGGGAAACCGUCAGCCCGGGUGUGAUGCACGGUUGCCAAGUAAACGGGGACGCAUCUGAGCGCCAGCCACAUCCACAUCCCGCGUCCCUUUGCUGCUGUGUGGCAUCCCACCUGUUGUUUGGAGUGUAAUUCAAGAAUUUUGCUGCACACAGUUUUGUGUAAAAUAUCGUAUUGCAUUUUCGGGGAUAGCAAUGCAACUUUCUCCUACACACGCAAACAUCAGGUGAAAAACUUGGUAUUGAGAGAUAUGUAUGUUGUAACAGUUUGUUAUUAAAUUCUAAGAGGCAUUUACCAGGAAAACAUUAACCAGGGAGCUAGUCUGGGCGGUGUGCCCUAGAUAGCAAUGGAUCAAUCAGUCAGCCAAGCAACAGACAAAAGAAGUCGAGUGCAACAGAGAGAAACAAGAUCGAGGACACAACAGGUCCCACCCAAGGGAGAAAAGGUGAGGACAGCAAGACCACAGCUGUGCGGCCAUCUAACAGGCCGCCCCCGAGACUGGAGCGAGGGGACACAGGCUCCCGGAGGAAAUGUCACGGAGAAGGGAGGUUUGCAAAGAUCAGCCACUAUCCUUAGGAUCCUUAGCCAGCUCACUGAGUGAUAAAGACAGUGUGAGCAAAAAGGCCACUAGCAAUUCUAGGAAAAACAAAUAGCUAGACCAUAAAGGAAAUGAUAUCAUGCCUCUGAAAUAAACAAUAUAACAAAGUUUCA
rnacentral:lncRNA from 1 species